UCUUGCGNGAAAGACGACUAAGCGGAUUAGUGGCGAAUCGGNUGAUACGCGUGAGUAAGCUGACCUUACACAAGGGGAUAGCCUUUGGAAACUGAUAGAAGUAAUACCCUAUAAAACCGAUAUAAAGCACAUGCUAGAAUGGUCAAAGUGAUAGCGGUGUAAGAUGGACUUGCGUCUGAUUAGGCUACUUCGGUGAGGUAAAACGUCUCACCAAGGCUAACGAUCAGUAGCCGGCUUGAGGAGAGUGUACGGCACAUUGGGACUGANACACGGGCCAACUCCUACGGGAGGCAGCAGGUGGGGCAAUUUUUGGACCACAUGGGGGAAACCCUGAUUGGCAACGAAGCCGCGUGAUUUAGAAGGCCUUCGGGUUGUAAAAAUCUUUCGUAUAGGAAGAACACCUGACUGGUACUAUACGAACUAAGGUCCGGCUAAUUACGUGCCAAACANGCGCGGUUAAUACGGUAAGGACCGAGGCGUUGGUCCGGAAUCAUUGGGGCGUCAAGAGGGUACGUAAGGCGGGUAGAAAAGUUCANGAAAGUCACAAAGGUUAUAGCUCAAGUAUAGUAAAGCUUGUAAAAGCUUAUUUUAGCUUGGAAG
rnacentral:rRNA from 1 species